GAUGAACGCUGGCGGCGUGCCUAAUACAUGCAAGUCGAGCGAACGGACGAGAAGCUUGCUUCUCUGAUGUUAGCGGCGGACGGGUGAGUAACACGUGGAUAACCUACCUAUAAGACUGGGAUAACUUCGGGAAACCGGAGCUAAUACCGGAUAAUAUUUUGAACCGCAUGGUUCAAAAGUGAAAGACGGUCUUGCUGUCACUUAUAGAUGGAUCCGCGCUGCAUUAGCUAGUUGGUAAGGUAACGGCUUACCAAGGCAACGAUGCAUAGCCGACCUGAGAGGGGGAUGGGCAACACGGGAACGAGGACAGGGUCCAAAUCCCCACGGAGGGCAGCAGUGGGAAGUCUGCCGCAAUGGGCGAAAGCCGGGGGGGAAAACGCGGGGGUGAUGUGGAGGGUCUUCGGAUCUAAAAACUCUGUUAUUAGGGAAAAAAAAAUGUUAAGGAAACUGGGCAGAUUUGGAGGGGACUUAACCGAAAAGCCACGGCAAACUACGG
rnacentral:rRNA from 1 species